rnacentral:rRNA from 1 species
UGGGGAAUAUUGCACAAUGGGCGAAAGCCUGAUGCAGCGACGCCGCGUGAGGGAUGACGGCCUUCGGGUUGUAAACCUCUUUCAGUAGGGACGAAGCGCAAGUGACGGUACCUGCAGAAGAAGCACCGGCUAACUACGUGCCAGCAGCCGCGGUAAUACGUAGGGUGCGAGCGUUGUCCGGAAUUACUGGGCGUAAAGAGCUCGUAGGCGGUUUGUCACGUCGUCUGUGAAAUCCUAGGGCUUAACCCUGGACGUGCAGGCGAUACGGGCUGACUUGAGUACUACAGGGGAGACUGGAAUUUCUGGUGUAGCGGUGGAAUGCACAGAUAUCAGGAAGAACACCGAUGGCGAAGGCAGGUCUCUGGGUAGUAACUGACGCUGAGGAGCGAAAGCAUGGGUAGCGAACAG